GACGAACGCUGGCGGCGUGCCUAAUACAUGCAAGUAGAACGCACAGUUUAUACCGUAGCUUGCUACACCAUAGACUGUGAGUUGCGAACGGGUGAGUAACGCGUAGGUAACCUGCCUGGUAGCGGGGGAUAACUAUUGGUAACGAUAGCUAAUACCGCAUAAUAUUGAUUAUUGCAUGAUAAUUAAUUGAAAGGUGCAAUUGCACCACUACCAGAUGGACCUGCGUUGUAUUAGCUAGUAGGUGAGGUAACGGCUCACCUAGGCGAAGAUACAUAGCCGGGCUGGGAGGGGGAGAGGCGACACUGGGACUGAGACACGGGCCAGAGUCCUACGGGAGGCGGCGGAAGGGGAACUUUGGCAAUGGACGAGAGUCUGAGCGAGAGACGCCGCGUGAGUGAAGAAGGUUUUCGGAUGGUGAAGCUCUGUUGUAAGGGGAGAAAGGGUGUGAGGGUGGAAAGUUCACAGUGUGACGGUAACUUAACAGAAAGGGACGGCUAACUACGGG
rnacentral:rRNA from 1 species